UUCCUCUGUAGUUCAGUCGGUAGAACGGCGGACUGUUAAUCCGUAUGUUCACUGGUUCGAGUCCAGUCAGAGGGAGCCA
rnacentral:tRNA from 1 species